rnacentral:rRNA from 1 species
GACGAACGCUGGCGGCGUGCCUAAUACAUGCAAGUUGAGCGCUGAAGGUUGGUACUUGUACCAACUGGAUGAGCAGCGAACGGGUGAGUAACGCGUGGGGAAUCUGCCUUUGAGCGGGGGACAACAUUUGGAAACGAAUGCUAAUACCGCAUAAAAACUUUAAACACAAGUUUUAAGUUUGAAAGAUGCUAUUGCAUUACCCAAAGAUGAUCCCGCGUUGUAUUAGCUAGUUGGGGAGGUAAAGGCUCAACAAGGCGAAGGUACAUAGCCGAACUGAGAGGGUGAUCCGCCACAUUGGGAAUGGAACAAGGCCCAAGACUCUACGGGGGGGAGCAAGAGGGGAUCUUCGGGAAAGGAGGAAAGUCUGAACGGGGCACGCCGGGGGAGGGAAGAAGGUUUUCGGAUCGGAAAACUCCGUUGGUAGAGAAGAACGUAGGUGGGAGUGGAAAGCGCAUCAAGUGACGGUAACUACUCAGAAAGAGACGGCUAACUACGUG